rnacentral:lncRNA from 1 species
UCAAAAAACAAAACAAAACAGAUAUAUCCACACAUAACCGUAAAUUAUGAGCCAUAAGAAGGGGACUGGGGAGAUUACUUUUUUGUAGGUACUUAAUGACUUCCUUGAGACUGUAGAAUUUGACUUGCACCCUCAAGGCUAGGUGGGAUUUUAAUAGGCGAAUAGAUAAUCUGACGGUGUGUAGGGUUUAUAAGAACAGGUAAAGCCUGGACACAGAAAGACAAGUUAGGAGAUGAUGAAAAUGGUUUGGGUGUAAGAGAAUAAUAACCCAAACCAGAGUGUGAUACCAAGACUGGAAAAUUAGGAAUAUGUGUGAGAAAUACAGCAAAGGAACUCAAUAAGAUUCAUACAGAGGUGAAGUGGAAAGAAGGAAUCCAACAUGACCUUGAAGCUUGAAGCCAGGAUGGAGGGUAGCACCAUAAACAGAAGUUGUACAGUCGGAGAGAAGGGCCAAGUUCGAGGGAUGUUUGUUGUCUUUGAUUCUACCAGAGUUAAACAUAAUGUUUUGAUGGAGUGAAGUCAGAUCUAAAACAUAGAUAUUCAACUUCAAAUGUUAAAAAAAAAAAGCAGUGACUCUUAUUUCUAUACUUCAUCUCAAUCAAAGCAUGACUUUCUAUGCACAUGGAAAAUUCCAUGAGCUCACCCUCCUGCAGAGCUCCUUCCUGACAGAAACCAGGAGGGUUAGGCUUUCUAAAGAGCACCAGAUCCCAGAUCCCUGCUGAUAAACUCACUAAGUCAGAAAGAUACAAAAUCAACCCUCUCACUAUAGAGAGAAAUUCUCAACUCUGUCCAGAUACGUAUUGGUUUUUGCAGAGCUGCGGAAAUAACGAAAAUAUAGGGGUUUGGACUCAACCAGGCCUGGACUGAGUCCUGGCUCCAGCUCUUUCUUGCCAUGCAACCUUGGUUAAAUUAACUUUUAAAGCUUGAGUUUUCUUACCUGCAAAGGGGAGAAAAUAUAGUACUACUUUCUAGGGCUGUUAAGAGAAUUAAGUAAAAAAUCCAUGUAAAGCACUUAGCAUGGCACGUUAUGCAUUGUUCUAAGUGUUCUAAGAACACUACUUAGAAAAUGUUAGCAUUGUUAUUGCUAUAGUAUCAAGGGUAGCGUGGAUACCAGACGUUUUGUGUUCAGUUGUGAGAAAAGACUAUUUAAGGUAAUACGCUCCUGAAUGUGCUAAAAUCAAAUACCGCAGCUGGACCAGAUUAACUCAGGACACCACCAGUGGACUAGAAUUGCAAUGACCCCACACGAUCUUACCUGCUCCUCAGACCACAGCCAAGGAAGAGAUUUCUGACAAACAAGCAAAAACACAACACUGUCCACACAACUGUAAAUAUGCAAGGAAGAGUUUCUUCUUGCCUGAAAACUGCUGUACAAGCAUGGCACCAGCAUCUGAGGCAAAAG